rnacentral:rRNA from 1 species
GACGAACCGUCCUAACGUUGUUCGGAUUCACUGGGCUUAAAGGGUGUGUAGGCGGUCUGUCAAGUCAGGGGUGAAAUCUUUCGGCUCAACCGGAAACUGCCUUUGAUACUGGCAGGCUCGAGCGGGGUAGGGGUUGCGGGAACUACCAGUGGAGCGGUGAAAUGCGUUGAUAUUGGUAGGAACGCCGGUGGCGAAAGCGCGCAACUGGACCUCUUCUGACGCUGAAACACGAAAGCUAGGGGAGCAAACGGG